GAUGAAGAACGUAGCGAAAUGCGAUAAGUAAUGUGAAUUGCAGAAUUCAGUGAAUCAUCGAAUCUUUGAACGCACCUUGCGCCCUUUGGCUAUUCCGAAGGGCAUGCCUGUUUGAGUAUCAUGAACACCUCAACUCUCAUGGCUUGCCAUGAUGAGCUUGGACUUUUGGGGGUCUUGCUGGCCUGUGGUCAGCUCCUCUCAAAUGAAUUAGCCUGCCAGUGUUUGGUGGCAUCACAGGUGUGAUAACUAUCUACGCUUGUGGUUUUCCACCAGGUAACCUUCAGUGAUGAAGGUUCGCUGGGGCUCAUAAACGUCUCUCCUCAGUGAGGACAGCUCUUUGAACGUUUGAUCUCAUAUCAGGUAGGACUACCCGCUGAACUUAAGCAUAUCAAUAAGCGGAGGA
rnacentral:misc_RNA from 1 species